rnacentral:tRNA from 1 species
GGCCUUGUAGCUCAGCUGGUAGAGCAGCGGAUUGAAAAUCCGCGUGUCGCUGGUUCGAUUCCGGCCAAGGCCACCA